GGGGAUUUAGCUCAGUGGUAGAGCGCUUGCCUAGCAAGCUCAAGGCCCUGGGUUCAAUCCCCA
rnacentral:tRNA from 1 species